rnacentral:lncRNA from 1 species
CAUUACAUUUCAUUGUAAUAAUAAUUACUUUUUAUUACGACAAUAAUUACUUGACCGAAUAGCUAAGUUUAAAAAUUCUAGCCAGUGAAAAUAAAAUUACUUUUCUUCACAUCAAUAAUUUAGAAAAAUUCACAAUAAUUGUUAUAUUCACUCACUAGAACUUAUACUUUUAGUUAUUUGCUCAAGUAAUUAUUGUCGUCAGAAAAAGUAAUUAUUGUUACGAAGAAAUGUAAUAUUUUAAAAUUAUUAUAUUUUUCACAAAAAUAUAUAAAAAAUGCAAAAGAAAAACAGUAAAAUAAAAAAAAUGCAAAAGAAAAGCAGUAAAAAGAAAUGCUAAAAAAAAAAAAAA